rnacentral:rRNA from 1 species
GACGAAAAAUGAAUACCAAGUCUCAAGAGUGAACACGUAAUUCAUUACGAAGUUUAAUUCAUUGAGCAUCAAACUUUUAAAUUGAAGAGUUUGAUCAUGGCUCAGAUUGAACGCUGGCGGCAGGCCUAACACAUGCAAGUCGAACGGUAACAGGAAGCAGCUUGCUGCUUUGCUGACGAGUGGCGGACGGGUGAGUAAUGUCUGGGAAACUGCCUGAUGGAGGGGGAUAACUACUGGAAACGGUGGCUAAUACCGCAUAACGUCGCAAGACCAAAGAGGGGGACCUUCGGGCCUCUUGCCAUCAGAUGUGCCCAGAUGGGAUUAGCUUGUUGGUGAGGUAACGGCUCACCAAGGCGACGAUCCCUAGCUGGUCUGAGAGGAUGACCAGCCACACUGGAACUGAGACACGGUCCAGACUCCUACGGGAGGCAGCAGUGGGGAAUAUUGCACAAUGGGCGCAAGCCUGAUGCAGCCAUGCCGCGUGUAUGAAGAAGGCCUUCGGGUUGUAAAGUACUUUCAGCGGGGAGGAAGGUGUUGUGGUUAAUAACCGCAGCAAUUGACGUUACCCGCAGAAGAAGCACCGGCUAACUCCGUGCCAGCAGCCGCGGUAAUACGGAGGGUGCAAGCGUUAAUCGGAAUUACUGGGCGUAAAGCGCACGCAGGCGGUCUGUCAAGUCGGAUGUGAAAUCCCCGGGCUCAACCUGGGAACUGCAUUCGAAACUGGCAGGCUUGAGUCUUGUAGAGGGGGGUAGAAUUCCAGGNNNNNNNNNNNNNNNNNNNNGUAGCGGUGAAAUGCGUAGAGAUCUGGAGGAAUACCGGUGGCGAAGGCGGCCCCCUGGACAAAGACUGACGCUCAGGUGCGAAAGCGUGGGGAGCAAACAGGAUUAGAUACCCUGGUAGUCCACGCCGUAAACGAUGUCUACUUGGAGGUUGUGCCCUUGAGGCGUGGCUUCCGGAGCUAACGCGUUAAGUAGACCGCCUGGGGAGUACGGCCGCAAGGUUAAAACUCAAAUGAAUUGACGGGGGCCCGCACAAGCGGUGGAGCAUGUGGUUUAAUUCGAUGCAACGCGAAGAACCUUACCUGGUCUUGACAUCCACGGAAGUUUUCAGAGAUGAGAAUGUGCCUUCGGGAACCGUGAGACAGGUGCUGCAUGGCUGUCGUCAGCUCGUGUUGUGAAAUGUUGGGUUAAGUCCCGCAACGAGCGCAACCCUUAUCCUUUGUUGCCAGCGGUCCGGCCGGGAACUCAAAGGAGACUGCCAGUGAUAAACUGGAGGAAGGUGGGGAUGACGUCAAGUCAUCAUGGCCCUUACGACCAGGGCUACACACGUGCUACAAUGGCGCAUACAAAGAGAAGCGACCUCGCGAGAGCAAGCGGACCUCAUAAAGUGCGUCGUAGUCCGGAUUGGAGUCUGCAACUCGACUCCAUGAAGUCGGAAUCGCUAGUAAUCGUGGAUCAGAAUGCCACGGUGAAUACGUUCCCGGGCCUUGUACACACCGCCCGUCACACCAUGGGAGUGGGUUGCAAAAGAAGUAGGUAGCUUAACCUUCGGGAGGGCGCUUACCACUUUGUGAUUCAUGACUGGGGUGAAGUCGUAACAAGGUAACCGUAGGGGAACCUGCGGUUGGAUCACCUCCUUACCUUAAAGAAGCGUACUUUGCAGUGCUCACACAGAUUGUCUGAUGAAAA